rnacentral:rRNA from 1 species
UACGAAGGGGGCUAGCGUUGCUCGGAAUCACUGGGCGUAAAGCGCACGUAGGCGGCUUUUUAAGUCAGGGGUGAAAUCCUGGAGCUCAACUCCAGAACUGCCUUUGAUACUGAGAAGCUUGAGUCCGGGAGAGGUGAGUGGAACUGCGAGUGUAGAGGUGAAAUUCGUAGAUAUUCGCAAGAACACCAGUGGCGAAGGCGGCUCACUGGCCCGGUACUGACGCUGAGGUGCGACAGCGUGGGGAGCAAACAGG